rnacentral:lncRNA from 1 species
UACAAAAUGCAUGUACAAUUACUAAUGAGAGUAUGAGACAUAUGUGAACCAUUCGAGUGACGUUUGUUUUGCUCGAUCAUCAUCUGGGUGGUAAAGUUGCUGUGUUGCCCAGUUAGUUGAGUUGAUCCAAAUAAAGCUAGCACUGUUUCUUGAAAUCCAAGUCAAUACAGUGAGUGGCUUAUGGCUAUGUGCUUGUAAAAUGAAACUUGGACUGUAUGUGUCUUGAUGACGGGAAUAUAUGGAGAUU